rnacentral:lncRNA from 1 species
GAUACAUUGAAGAAGUAUAAAAUUAGCAAGUAAUAAUUUUGUCAUAUAAGCUAAAUAUUUUGUUUUAGGGUAAAUACAUCAUAUUAUCUACUUUUGCCAUAUUUAGUUUUGCUAGUAGGAUUUUUCUUAAUUCUUUUCCCAUAAAAGAAAUUGUAUUUAUUAUUUGCUUCUUUUUUUCCCUACCCUUUUCGGCAACUACAGUUUAAAAAAUUGCAUAAUAUUAAUUAUAGUUAGGAUGGUAAUCGCACCACAAAUUAGAAGGUGUGACAAAUUUUUAAUUAUAAUAUCGAUAAAUUACUCAUGUUAAAAAAAAGAAAAUUUAUCUAUUCGCAAUCGCAUCUCACGGAUUUUUUAUUAUAACUCAUAAUACAUUAAUAGAAGUAAUUAUAUUUUAUUUAUAAAAAUGUUUAAGAACAUCUCCAAUGAUACUCGUUGAAAGUAUCUCCGGCGUACUUAUUUAUCCCUGCUCAUUAGUGUGAAAUUUCUAGAUUAUCCCUAACAAAAGUUUUCUUUUGUUUCAUAGCGUAGAGAGAAUUUUGGACUUUUUCCUGAAGAAUUUGUUUGUAAUUUAUGGAAUUAAGAUAAUAGGCAGGCCGAUUAGGCAUCAAUACGAGUAACUUUAUUUGAUACUCCAAAAAUCGUCGGGAAUCUCCAAUCAUGGAGGGCGGAACCGAUUGGCCAUUUAAAACAACUACUUCGUGUUUGAAAAUCAUUUUCAUUCAGAACACAAAAGUGCGUAGCUUUAAUUUGUACGCCAACCGUUCAUGUUGUCCAUCAUCGAUUAAGAGUAAUUUUUUACCUAAAUAAUUUGGUAGGAAAAUGAAAUAGACUAAGCAGUUCUUGGCUUGAUUGAAGAAGACAGAUUUUAUAUUUAAUUUUAAUUAGUUGUUAGUCCAUACCUUAGGUUGCUGAUUAAGUUGGAGUUGCGUGUGUAAUAUGAACAAGGAGCUUCCCUAGAUUAGAGAUUAUCCUCUUCCAGACAUUGAGAUCAUUACCUUCAAAAUAUUCGAAAAAGAAAUUUAUGUAAGUUUACGGCAUUGGUUUAAUCAAUCCACCAUGCAAUUGUUAAAAUAUUAUUAUCUAUAUUAUUUUGUGAUAUAUUCUCUCUUUUGUGUUUUAAAUACG